rnacentral:rRNA from 1 species
UACGUAGGGGGCAAGCGUUAUCCGGAUUCACUGGGUGUAAAGGGAGCGUAGACGGCGACGCAAGUCAGAAGUGAAAGCCCGGGGCCCAACCCCGGUACUGCAUUUGAAACUGUCCGGCUGGAGUGCAGGAGAGGUAAGCGGAAUUCCUAGUGUAGCGGUGAAAUGCGUAGAUAUUAGGAGGAACACCAGUGGCGAAGGCGGCUUACUGGACUGUAACUGACGUUGAGGCUCGAAAGCGUGGGGAGCAAACAGG